GGAUAGGAAGCGACAGUCCAAGAGACCCGAAUGGCGAGAGUUAUUAACGGAUUCUCAUCCAUUCUUCCGGCAGUUGAACGAGAAGAAUUGGUCCCCAUUCAUCAGGAUUUCCAAAAUAAGAAAAAGACUAAGGGGUUCGAGACAAUUCAGCUCACGAAGCAUACCCAUUUGCCAUAUCUUAUCUGGAAGGAUACUGCGCGCGGCUGUUGGAGAAACGUAAAAUUCGGGAGUGCCGUUAAAAGUAUCGCGCGUACAAGUGCGGGAGUGCUGUUAAAAGUAUCGCGCGCGUUGACAAUCCUGACAAUCUAAGAGGAGGAGGAGGCCUUGGAGAGGCAUCAGGCACCGGCAGAGCAACCCUAAGGAGGAGACAACGCGUAGCUUGAACAUCAACUACUCCGCUGUUGUGCAU